rnacentral:tRNA from 2 species
AAGAUGUUAGUAAAAUAUUAUACUGCUUUGUCAGGGCAGAGUUGUAAGUUAAAACCUUGCACAUCUUA